rnacentral:ncRNA from 1 species
UAAUCUCAUUAGAGACUGGAUAACUCCUUUUCCAUAAGUUUUAGUUCCUACUAUUGUUGCUUUUCCAUUAUCUUUUAAAGCUCCUGCUAAUAUUUCUGAAGCACUUGCUGUAUUUCCAUUUACUAAAACUACAAUAGGCAUAUUAAUUAUAGGAUCUUUUUCUGAUUUUGUUAUUGUUUCUUUUCCAUCUUUAUCUGUUUCUAUUAAAAGUGUGCUUCCUUUAUCACAUAUUAAAUUUAAUAUAUCUAUAGCCUCAUCAACUACUCCUCCACCGUUACUACGUA